AAUUGUUAUAUCUGUAUCUCAUCUAGUCAUCCCACUUGGGUAGUUGGAAAUUUGUAUCUACCCUCAGAGAUGGAAGUUUGUAACAACUUUUACAAGUAUGACACAAAAAAUUUAUGCAUUUUAUGAUUUAUUUGAUUUUUUUCUUUUAUCUGGCAUGAUGUAUAUUUGAUUUUUUGUGCUAACGUAUCAUUUUCUUAACAAAUAAAUGGUUUUUAUAAUGGU
rnacentral:lncRNA from 1 species